AGUAAGUAUGUGUAAGUAUAGGGGAACAAUAUGUAAAGUAUUGGGAAUAAAGGGGUAACAACCAGGAAAAUAACAAAUUAUUUAUACUGUAAAUAUUUUAUAACUAAGGGGAACUUAUGACAUAUAACUAAGGGGUAAAUAUGACAUUACGGGCCGUAAAUUAAAGUGGAGCUUGUUACCCUCUUAUUUCAUGUAGUUACAGGGUAAAUAUGACAUUACGGGCCGUAAAUUAAAGUGGAGCUUGUUACCCUCUUAUUUCAUGUAGUUACAGGGUAAGUAAUUAAUAAAAUGCAAACAAUCUGAUAUCACUGACUCUGAAACCUUUAUUUGAAAAACAACUUUAUUAAAAACAGGUCUACAACACUUAUUCACUUUUUCAUUUCAUUCCUGACAGAAAGUAACAAGUUUUGUCCGUUUUUUGAUUGUUGUUGUUUCUCGCUUGGCUUCCUCCUGCUCUUGUUUCUCAGCAGAUGAAUCUUAAGAAGGAAUCCCAUUGCUGUUCUGUAUUAUAAGAAAAUACAGUACACCCCGAAAUUUUCUCAUGGUUUAGGCUAUUCAUCUUUUCGCUUCCGACCAACUGUCACCAGCGCCUGCAUGAGAGUCGACUUUGCGCUUGACGAAGCAUAUUAAUGAGCAACGUGAAGCUUUCAUGAUGUUCUCGCGGGAGAUUCAUGUGAAACUCGCGCGAGAACUGCCGUCUCUGUUAUUCUGUCUUGUUUGUUUCUCAUUCUCAUUAUCUGUUAUUCUGUGUAUUUUGUUGUGAGCAUUACUAAAAAAAUAAAAUAAAAAAAUAAAAAACUGAUGGCAUCCAACAUCUGCGUGAGUUUCUCGGCACGCUUACAUCACGCUUCAAGUUACGUCAAGCAUGAACUCUCAACCCUCGCAUGCAGGAGACAGUUGGUCGAAAGUUUUAAAAAUAUUCAAAUAUUUGGUAUUUUUCUUACAAAUACUUAUCGUUUCACUUCAGAAGACAUCGAUUCAUCCAUUAGGGUCUGUGAGAUUCUAGACACAUCAUGUGCUCUGUCUCCUUCAGACAUCAUGUGAUCUUUCUCUGUACACCCUAAAAGGAUUCAGCCGUCACGUCAUAGUUAUAAGUGAACUUAUAGUCCUUUUAUGUACUUCAGUCACUGAACUGUUAGUUUCACUUCUUAUUUUCUAAUUAUAUAAUGUACCCCUGGACAAUAAACUGUGUGCCAUGAUUGAACUGCACUUUAUGUGUCUGUCUAGUCAUUGGUACCCAGGUAUACCUGCUUUUCUGUGCUACAUCGCUCAACCUGAAAGAUCUUCUCAAAAUACUUGAUCUCCAAAUUAUUUUAUCUGACAGUCUGGGGGCUCGUCCGGGAUACGGGGGGGAUUCUCCCUGUGAACUGGGAAAAGAGAAAAGCGUGCCGGGGAUCGGAGGACCUACGGAAAAGGGGAAAAGCCUACUUACCCCUUUGUUCCAGGACAGAGUAUGCUGAUCAAAAGCCUGAAACUGACAAAGGUGGGAGAACCGAAGUAUCUUGGACCAGCUACAGUGAUCGCCGAAACGAGGACAGGAGUUCUGACAGAUUACUAACCACAGUGGAUACACGCUUCGAGAAUAAAGCACUGUCCUACAGGAGAGCAGGCAAGCUCCAAUUCAGAAUAGAAUCUCAAAUGGGGAUUCACCUUACUGCAUAACAGGGAGGAGCAAAAUACUGAUUAAGCUGAGGAAGGAACUACCUCUAAUAGUGAGGUGGGGGUUAUCCAAAGCCAGAAGAUAGAUGGCCCAUUGAGCCAAACAGUGUUAACUCCUUACACACCCCUGUAUGCACUAAGGGCCAAAUUUUUAUUAAUGGAUAUACCACCUCUAGAGUUUUACACAGUGUUCAGUUGCAGAAGCUGUUGCAGCAUUCAGCAAAAAUAUUGUUCACUUAGCUAAGUGCUCUCAAGAGGAAGAACCAAGAUUGGAAGAAAUAAUACUUCAGAGACCAUAUCCAAACACAAUCAUGUUUUUCCUGUUCACAACAAAGUAUGGAACCUUCAAAGUUUUUAAAAAGGAUAUAUGCAUAUGUGUGUAUGUCUACAAUAAUCAGAUCUUAUGUGCACAAUGAUGUUCCAUAGGUAAGACAUUCUGUCUUAAAGUGGCCAUUGUGAGAUUCUAGACACAUCAUGUGCUCUGUCUCCUUCAGACAUCAUGUGAUCUUUCUCUGUACACCCUAAAAGGAUUCAGCCGUCACGUCAUAGUUAUAAGUGAACUUAUAGUCCUUUUAUGUACUUCAGUCACUGAACUGUUAGUUUCACUUCUUAUUUUCUAAUUAUAUAAUGUACCCCUGGACAAUAAACUGUGUGCCAUGAUUGAACUGCA